rnacentral:lncRNA from 1 species
CAGAAGCGAAAUAGCAGACUUUAUGACGACAUCGCCGCGGCCCUGCGAAUGGCAGGCUUUGAAAGAACUCGCCUACAAGUUCACCACAAGAUUGAAAAUCUUGCGCAGACUUAUCGGUUUUGGUUGAAGAAAGAAGACUGGUGCUGGCGCCAUACCUUGGACACAUUUAUGGCGCAUACAUAGUUUCUUGGGGACACUCCCGGCCAACGACCCAUCAAGGGCUCAAGAGAGCGAAGUGACUGUUGAAGAGGUCAUCAUGGAAAUGAUAAAUGGCAGCGAAACUG